AUGUUUUUCUCUAGACACAGAUCUGUGCCAAAUUUUUUAGAGUUUCUAUUAAAAAAAUGUUCAGGGGUUCUGGUGUUUCAUCAUUUUUGGGAAAAGUAGUAGGAAAACUGGAGGAACAGGUGAACUGUACCUGCGAGUCCUCCUGGAAGGCCUGACCUUUGACCCAGUGUGCCGUUUCAUUUGAUGGCAUCAUACCUGUGUGAAGCUUCACGUGCCGGUCUCGGCUCCGCUUGUGUUUAAAGAGGCGGCUGCAGAAGGUACACUUGAAAGGCAGCUUGUCGCUGUGGAUCUGCUCGUG